rnacentral:lncRNA from 1 species
UUUGCAGCAAAAGGCACAGGUCUAGACAAGGCUGGGUGGGUCUAAAGAUAGACCGGCAAGACCUGCCUGGGACCACAGAGAAGUCGUUCAGAGAAGGCUCUGCUACUAGUCCUCAAAUCCCCUGGCCCCAGCUCAGUGAUAGUGUGUCUCUCCACUGAGGGACAGUGGCCAGGCAUAGGGGACAGCAGAGAAGCAGGGACAAGUGCAUAAAACCCAGACUGCUCUGGCUGUGAACCUAAGAGUGUACACUCUCUUGGCCAAAUGCUCCAAACCACGUUCUCCCAAGGCAGCAUUGGCUUGGGACCUCCCCACCCGCCUCUCCAUCAUCUUUUGCCACUGAUCACUGAACAUCUUGGCUGGACACUUGAUCUUCCUCAGAUAGUCAGCAGUACAUAAUCCCCAUGGGGCAGAAGGAUGAGGGACAACUCCAGGAACAAUGAACGAAGGCAUGAAUUAGCAUAAAUAAUGAAUAGGUAUGAAUUGAUGCUCACGGUGGUUACAAGAAUCAAUCUCAUCAAUCAGGAAGUGGACAGUUCAUUCUUUCGAGGAUCUGUGUCCUGACUCUUCAGCUAAAUGGCUGGAAAAAAGCAUUGUCUGAAUAAAUGACAGAAUGCCAAGACUCAGGAGAAAUUGCAUUGUGUGGCCUGGUAGGUGCUUGUAAGAGUUUAUGGAUUAGAAGUAACCAGAGAUCUCCCAGCAGACAGAGGAGUAGCAGGUUCUGGUCCCAGG